CGAGAUGAUCAUGAGACACUUGACGCUCAAACGGACGCUAGCCGCGGUCGUAGCUUGCUACUCGUCAUGGCGUCGGCCGGUAUGCAAGAAGGGAGGGUAUCAUUGGCCAUGAUAUGAUUCCCUGAUGCUGUUAUCUAGAUCAAGUGUUAACUUUAGAUUUGUAAGUUUAUUUUUAUGCUCUCUUCACAUACGCCGCCGCCAGUUCAAUCGUGUUUUUGCAAAGAGUAGUGAGUGGGUCUGUCGAAAGCAGUGGCAUCAGAUAAAAAAAAAACCUGAAUCAGAUUGUUGUACAUACGCCCAGAAACGCCAAAAGGAGGAAAACAGCAACAUUCACCCUGUAGUGUAACAGCCUUUGAAGCUGAUAAGAAGCGCCUCAUCUUCUGACUUCACAUUAUAGAUCGUAAAGGGGAAUGCGAUCUCAAAAUGAAAAGGUGCAAAAGAACAAUUUUGAGGAUGAUAACUAUAUAGUUUACUUCAUUAAGAAUGACUUCACCUCGACAUGCUUCAUAAAAACUUUGAAAUUCCUUAUUUCUGAUAUUGCUUCUGCAGCGUCUUUAAAAAUGUUAUAUCCAGGUUGUCCCAACAGGAUGUUGAAGGAUAUGGAACCACGGAACAAUAGACCUAUAGUUUCUUGUUGAACCUUGUCCCAAAGGUCUAUCAUUGGUCUCCCCGACAGGUGUAAAAGCCUGUCGUAUAUCUCCUGAUGCAGAGACCACUCCGUCCCCAGAACCUGCCCCGACGACUUUGCUUGUCUGCCAAUACAUUCCUUUUGCCUGGAAUGUACCUGGCCAUGAGGUCCACUGAGUUGUCGAUGGCCCCCUGAUGCAACUGUAGUGUUAUCGAGUGAAGUUGGCGUGACACAUUUGCAAUUAAGGAAUAAACAUUGGACAGAUACUGCCCUUGGUAACUAUAGCACAUGGAAAUUAGAUAUGCAAAUUUAGAAAUGAAACUGAAGGUGUUUUUUUGGACCUUGGAUAAUUGAUAAUGAGGGACCAGUGUUCUGUAAAACUAUAUUUUUUAAAUAAACAGUACAGUGUGGUAGUGUCAGCCAUCUCAGUUGUACACAACCCUGUAAAAAAACCAAAUGCUAUCCACACAAUACACUUUACAAUGUUGGUGUAAUAUUACUUGAAUUUUUAGCAGUUAGUACCAUAUCUAUUACCAUUUGGUUAAAGUUGGAUGAUAAAAUCUGUUAGCUGUGACCUUAACUUUUAAGUACUGUGAAGUCCUGUAAGGUAGCCCAUGUUAAGAAAUUCUUCAAUUGAAGUCCUGUAUGGUGGUAGCCCUUGUUAAGAAAUUCUUCAGUUGGGGAGGCAGGGUUAGUUGUGAGGUGAACGUCAAGUGUGACAAGAUCUGAGAGUGCACUGAAGUGAAGUGUGUAACUUCAGCUGUAGGAGUAGUACAGUGUAAUUAGCUUUCAAGUUGCAGUGGAAAUACUUGCUAUAAGUAACAUAAAAUACACAACAGCUGUAUGUUCUAUGGGAGCAUGAUAGCUGAUUUAUUAAGUAGAGACUAAUGGAUUUUUGGCAUGGUGCGACAAAGGCGACAGGGCAGUGCCUUUAGGAAUGGGAAGAAAAUAAGUGAUCGUUUAUGUGGUAGUGGAAAGGUGUAGUGCACAGACUUGGGAUGGGUGAAAAGCGCAUAUUUUAGUUUAAAAAUAGCAUGGCAAGAAUGAGUGUGAAGCUUAUUUUAAUAGUGUUUUUGUGGGGGUUGGGGGCACCAGGAUUAGAGAGGAAACUUUGUGAGAGAUUGACUUGAUGUGUGGGGCUGAUGGCGGGGUUCCACUAGUAUUAGAAAGGAAUCGACAUUUUGUGAGAGAUUAAACUCAAUUCCCUAGGCCUAGGAGAUUGGAAAGCAUGAAAAGGGAGGUUUUGCAUCAUGUCUGAAUAUGAAUGUAGGCAAAGGAAAUGUAAGAUAAGUUGUAGAGGAUAGAUCAAACAUGCCAAGUAAUAGCAAUUUAUGAGAGAGAACAUGUAAGAAAAAAGUAAAGUAAUAACUCUUCAGCACUAUGCACUUCAUUCUGUUUUGGGGCAUUUUUAAUUGUGGCAUUAAUUUAUUAAAAUGAUGGGGAGAAAUCAGCAUACAUCAGUUUAGGCAACUUGGCAUCAGUCAGCAGUAGAUGUCAAAAAACCAUGAAAGCAAAACUAAAAGUAGAAAAGGCAAAAAUUACAUUAAAAACAAAAUGUUGAGUAUAUGUAAUAUUGAAAUGAUUUAAAAGCUGUAACUACUAAUUUUUCAGCAUUUGGCAGCAUGAUGGUGCUGUAUUCAAAUUUGGGUGUACUUGCUCGCAUGUUAUUUGCAGUCUUAUUUGAGUAAAAUCCUUAUCAUCUGUCCCCAUGGGUUCAAAGAAAGUUCCUGCAGCUGAAAUGUCUCAUCAAGCUUAGAAGCUAAGCAAUCAGCUGAGGAUGUCCCUCUCCCUGAUACCCUGAACUUAUUCAUACAAGAUAGGUUAACUAUGGAAUUUCGUCAGAUUUUUAUGGAGUAUCAGAACUACAUCUUUUUAAACUAUUGCAUAAGCAUUCAGAAUAUCACCCUAUAUAAGUAUCUGAAGGAAGAGCUGAAAGUAAGGUAGCCUGACAGAACGACCUAAGAAACAGCAUUAUAAUCUAGCGAAAUCAAUAAAAAUUGAUAAUAUUUCCAAAGCUUUGCAGUGUAAGUAAAAAAAGAAUCGAGAAUACUGCCAAAGCUUUGCAGUGUAGGAAAUAAGGCAUUUGGUCCUUGGAAGUGAGUGACAUCGUUAAGCCUGAACAGAAUGCGGAUGUAAACGCUCAACUUUUAAAAAAUGGUUGUUCACUCAAGGCGAAUGAUUUUAAUUGUAAUUCUACGCGUGAUAUUCUCCUCUUUUCAAAUAUUACCUUUUCACAAUUUUUCAAGGUAUAUCAAUUCCUUAAUAAUCGUGUAACGCUAGCGAAAAAGGUCACGGAAAACUGUUGAUAAUGUUGAUCAAAAUGGUUGUCUGGUGUGACGUGGCACCUAGACAUGCUUGCACAUGCGCAUUGUCUUGAUUAUCCAGCAAGCGGUCGGUUACGCGGAAACUAACUUGCGUUGAUAAGCGGCGCGAUUAUUCCCCGUUUUCUGUCGGUUUUCGGAGUUUCUUUUUAAUCGCGGCUUUUUUUUCUGUGUAUGAACUACAACACCGCGGUUUAAUCGAAGAAUGAAAUCACUGCCAACAACACAAAUGUCUCUAAUCAGACCAUUUUUGCUCGAGUCAAAAAGGGCGCCAUAUUAUCUCGACGGCGACCUUCACCUGACACGAUAGUCUGAUUUCUGCUGUCAUGCCUGACCCAAUAUUUUCGAAAGGAUCAACAGGUCCACCACCACCACCACCACCGCCGCCAUCCCAACUCUUAUUUAAUCACCUUCAGAAUCAGGUCGUUUAAGGUCAGUA